rnacentral:snRNA from 1 species
AGCUUUGUGCAGUGGCAGUAUCAUGGCCAGUGAGAUUAAUCUGAGGUGUGAUUAUUGUUAAUAGAAAUGUUUUCUCAGUACCCCACCUAGGUGACUUGCUAUAUAGUAAUGAUGACUUGAUGGGUUGUGAAAUGCUGAGAGAGUGUUUGCACU